rnacentral:rRNA from 1 species
UAAAGAUUCAUCGCUGAUAGAUAGGCAUGCGUUCCAUUAGGCAGUUGGCGGGGUAACGGCCCACCAAACCGACGAUGGAUAGGGGUUCUGAGAGGAAGGUCCCCCACAUUGGUACUGAGACACGGACCAAACUCCUACGGGAGGCAGCAGUGAGGAAUAUUGGUCAAUGGGCGUAAGCCUGAACCAGCCAAGUCGCGUGAGGGAUGAAGGUUCUAUGGAUCGUAAACCUCUUUUAUAAGGGAAUAAAGUGUGGGACGUGUCCUGUUUUGUAUGUACCUUAUGAAUAAGGAUCGGCUAACUCCGUGCCAGCAGCCGCGGUAAUACGGAGGAUCCGAGCGUUAUCCGGAUUUAUUGGGUUUAAAGGGUGCGUAGGCGGCCUUUUAAGUCAGCGGUGAAAGUCUGUGGCUCAACCAUAGAAUUGCCGUUGAAACUGGGAGGCUUGAGUAUGUUUGAGGCAGGCGGAAUGCGUGGUGUAGCGGUGAAAUGCUUAGAUAUCACGCAGAACCCCGAUUGCGAAGGCAGCCUGCCAAGCCAUGACUGACGCUGAUGCACGAAAGCGUGGGGAUCAAACAGGAUUAGAUACCCUGGUAGUCCACGCAGU